rnacentral:tRNA from 1 species
GGCUCGGUAGCUUAGUUGGUAAAGCGCAAGAACAAGAGUCCUGGGUUCGAAUCCCAGCCGAGCAC